rnacentral:misc_RNA from 1 species
GAUGAAGAACGCAGCGAAAUGCGAUAAGUAAUGUGAAUUGCAGAAUUCAGUGAAUCAUCGAAUCUUUGAACGCACAUUGCGCCCGCUAGUAUUCUGGCGGGCAUGCCUGUUCGAGCAUCAUUUCAACCAUCAAGCCCUGCUUGUGUUGGGGUCCUGCGGCUGCCCGCAGGCCCUGAAAACCAGUGGCGGGCUCGCUAGUCACACCGAGCGCAGUAGCACAUCUCGCUCAGGGCGUGCGGCGGGUUCUUGCCGUAAAACACCCCCUUUUUACCAAGGUUGACCUCGGAUCAGGUAGGAAUACCCGCUGAACUUAAGCAUAUCAAUAAGCGGAGGA